rnacentral:misc_RNA from 1 species
CACAUACGCCUGAUGGCGUUUCCUCCCUAAACUCGGGCCGUGCCGGCUACGCCGGUGCGGUCUUUUCUUUGCCCGCG